rnacentral:misc_RNA from 1 species
AACGCACAUUGCGCCCUUUGGUAUUCCGAAGGGCAUGCCUGUUCGAGCGUCAUUUAGUCUAUCAAGCUAAGCUUGGUCUUGGGUAUUUUUGGUUCUGAUGAGAGCCGACCUAUAACUCACUGGCGGAUACACUUUGAAUCCUAGCGUAGCAAACUUCGUUUUGGAUUUUAAAGGGCUUCCAGUCUUUUUACUUCUACCUAAAUUUUGACCUCGGAUCAGGUAGGGAUACCCGCUGAACUUAA